UUACUACUCCCUCCGUCCCAAAAUUCUUGUCUUAGAUUUGUCUAAAUACGGAUGUAUCAAGUCACAUUUUAGUAUUAGAUACAUCCGUAUCUAGACAAAUGUAAGACAAGAAUUUUGGGACGGAGGGAGUAUCUG
rnacentral:pre_miRNA from 1 species